UUUCAGGAUGAACGCUAGCUACAGGCUUAACACAUGCAAGUCGUGGGGCAUCAGGAAGAAAGCUUGCUUUCUUUGCUGGCGACCGGCGCACGGGUGAGUAACACGUAUCCAACCUGCCCUUUACUCGGGGAUAGCCUUUCGAAAGAAAGAUUAAUACCCGAUAGCAUAAUGAUUCCGCAUGGUUUCAUUAUUAAAGGAUUCCGGUAAAGGAUGGGGAUGCGUUCCAUUAGGUUGUUGGUGAGGUAACGGCCCACCAAGCCUUCGAUGGAUAGGGGUUCUGAGAGGAAGGUCCCCCACAUUGGAACUGAGACACGGUCCAAACUCCUACGGGAGGCAGCAGUGAGGAAUAUUGGUCAAUGGGCGCUAGCCUGAACCAGCCAAGUAGCGUGAAGGAUGAAGGCUCUAUGGGUCGUAAACUUCUUUUAUAUAAGAAUAAAGUGCAGUAUGUAUACUGUUUUGUAUGUAUUAUAUGAAUAAGGAUCGGCUAACUCCGUGCCAGCAGCCGCGGUAAUACGGAGGAUCCGAGCGUUAUCCGGAUUUAUUGGGUUUAAAGGGAGCGUAGGUGGACUGGUAAGUCAGUUGUGAAAGUUUGCGGCUCAACCGUAAAAUUGCAGUUGAUACUGUCAGUCUUGAGUACAGUAGAGGUGGGCGGAAUUCGUGGUGUAGCGGUGAAAUGCUUACAUAUCACGAAGAACUCCGAUUGCGAAGGCAGCUCACUGGACUGCAACUGACACUGAUGCUCGAAAGUGUGGGUAUCAAACAGGAUUAGAUACCCUGGUAGUCCACACAGUAAACGAUGAAUACUCGCUGUUUGCGAUAUACAGUAAGCGGCCAAGCGAAAGCAUUAAGUAUUCCACCUGGGGAGUACGCCGGCAACGGUGAAACUCAAAGGAAUUGACGGGGGCCCGCACAAGCGGAGGAACAUGUGGUUUAAUUCGAUGAUACGCGAGGAACCUUACCCGGGCUUAAAUUGCAGUGGAAUGAUGUGGAAACAUGUCAGUGAGCAAUCACCGCUGUGAAGGUGCUGCAUGGUUGUCGUCAGCUCGUGCCGUGAGGUGUCGGCUUAAGUGCCAUAACGAGCGCAACCCUUAUCUUUAGUUACUAACAGGUUAUGCUGAGGACUCUAGAGAGACUGCCGUCGUAAGAUGUGAGGAAGGUGGGGAUGACGUCAAAUCAGCACGGCCCUUACGUCCGGGGCUACACACGUGUUACAAUGGGGGGUACAGAAGGCAGCUAGCGGGUGACCGUAUGCUAAUCCCAAAAUCCUCUCUCAGUUCGGAUGGAAGUCUGCAACCCGACUUCGUGAAGCUGGAUUCGCUAGUAAUCGCGCAUCAGCCACGGCGCGGUGAAUACGUUCCCGGGCCUUGUACACACCGCCCGUCAAGCCAUGGGAGCCGGGGGUACCUGAAAUACGUAACCGCAAGGAUCGUCCUAGGGUAA
rnacentral:rRNA from 1 species